rnacentral:rRNA from 1 species
UACGGAGGGGGCUAGCGUUGUUCGGAAUUACUGGGCGUAAAGCGCACGUAGGCGGCUUUGUAAGUUAGAGGUGAAAGCCCGGGGCUCAACUCCGGAAUUGCCUUUAAGACUGCAUCGCUAGAGUUGUGGAGAGGUAAGUGGAAUUCCGAGUGUAGAGGUGAAAUUCGUAGAUAUUCGGAAGAACACCAGUGGCGAAGGCGACUUACUGGACACAUAUUGACGCUGAGGUGCGAAAGCGUGGGGAGCAAACAGG